rnacentral:rRNA from 1 species
AUUGAGCGCUGGCGGCAGGCCUAACACAUGCAAGUCGAGCGGGGUUUUCGGACCUAGCGGCGGACGGGUGAGUAAUGCGUAGGAAGCUGCCCGAUAGAGGGGGAUACCAGUUGGAAACGACUGUUAAUACCGCAUAAUGUCUACGGACCAAAGUGUGGGACCUUCGGGCCACAUGCUAUCGGAUGCGCCUACGUGGGAUUAGCUAGUUGGUGAGGUAAUGGCCCACCAAGGCGACGAUCUCUAGCUGGUUUGAGAGGAUGAUCAGCCACACUGGAACUGAGACACGGUCCAGACUCCUGCGGGAGGCAGUAGUGGGGAAUAUUGGACAAUGGGCGCAAGCCUGAUCCAGCCAUGCCGCGUGUGUGAAGAAGGCCUUCGGGUUGUAAAGCACUUUCAGCGAGGAGGAAGGGGUGUGUGUUAAUAGUACACACCUUUGACGUUACUCGCAGAAGAAGCACCGGCUAACUCUGUGCCAGCCGCCGCAGUAACAC